rnacentral:rRNA from 1 species
UGAGUUUGAUCCUGGCUCAGAUUGAACGCUGGCGGCAGGCUUAACACAUGCAAGUCGAGCGGAGAGAGGUAGCUUGCUACUGAUCUUAGCGGCGGACGGGUGAGUAAUGCUUAGGAAUCUGCCUAUUAGUGGGGGACAACAUUUCGAAAGGAAUGCUAAUACCGCAUACGUCCUACGGGAGAAAGCAGGGGAUCUUCGGACCUUGCGCUAAUAGAUGAGCCUAAGUCGGAUUAGCUAGUUGGUGGGGUAAAGGCCUACCAAGGCGACGAUCUGUAGCGGGUCUGAGAGGAUGAUCCGCCACACUGGGACUGAGACACGGCCCAGACUCCUACGGGAGGCAGCAGUGGGGAAUAUUGGACAAUGGGCGCAAGCCUGAUCCAGCCAUGCCGCGUGUGUGAAGAAGGCCUUAUGGUUGUAAAGCACUUUAAGCGAGGAGGAGGCUACUUUAGUUAAUACCUAGAGAUAGUGGACGUUACUCGCAGAAUAAGCACCGGCUAACUCUGUGCCAGCAGCCGCGGUAAUACAGAGGGUGCAAGCGUUAAUCGGAUUUACUGGGCGUAAAGCGCGCGUAGGCGGCUAAUUAAGUCAAAUGUGAAAUCCCCGAGCUUAACUUGGGAAUUGCAUUCGAUACUGGUUAGCUAGAGUGUGGGAGAGGAUGGUAGAAUUCCAGGUGUAGCGGUGAAAUGCGUAGAGAUCUGGAGGAAUACCGAUGGCGAAAGCAGCCAUCUGGCCUAACACUGACGCUGAGGUGCGAAAGCAUGGGGAGCAAACAGGAUUAGAUACCCUGGUAGUCCAUGCCGUAAACGAUGUCUACUAGCCGUUGGGGCCUUUGAGGCUUUAGUGGCGCAGCUAACGCGAUAAGUAGACCGCCUGGGGAGUACGGUCGCAAGACUAAAACUCAAAUGAAUUGACGGGGGCCCGCACAAGCGGUGGAGCAUGUGGUUUAAUUCGAUGCAACGCGAAGAACCUUACCUGGCCUUGACAUAGUAAGAACUUUCCAGAGAUGGAUUGGUGCCUUCGGGAACUUACAUACAGGUGCUGCAUGGCUGUCGUCAGCUCGUGUCGUGAGAUGUUGGGUUAAGUCCCGCAACGAGCGCAACCCUUUUCCUUAUUUGCCAGCGAGUAAUGUCGGGAACUUUAAGGAUACUGCCAGUGACAAACUGGAGGAAGGCGGGGACGACGUCAAGUCAUCAUGGCCCUUACGGCCAGGGCUACACACGUGCUACAAUGGUCGGUACAAAGGGUUGCUACCUAGCGAUAGGAUGCUAAUCUCAAAAAGCCGAUCGUAGUCCGGAUUGGAGUCUGCAACUCGACUCCAUGAAGUCGGAAUCGCUAGUAAUCGCGGAUCAGAAUGCCGCGGUGAAUACGUUCCCGGGCCUUGUACACACCGCCCGUCACACCAUGGGAGUUUGUUGCACCAGAAGUAGCUAGCCUAACUGCAAAGAGGGCGGUUACCACGGUGUGGCCGAUGACUGGGGUGAAGUCGUAACAAGGUAGCCGUAGGGGAACCUGCGGCUGGAUCACCUCCUUUCU